GCUCUUAUGGUUGAAGCACAACAGUGGUUUUUCAAGUCGCAAGUCCAAGUUAGAGUCUUGGUAAGAGUU